rnacentral:misc_RNA from 1 species
AUAUGUAGCUUCAUCAAAAUUGUUUAGAAACAGAUAACAAUGGAAUUCAACCCUAUUAGCUACAUAUCAAAUCCUGAAGCUCAAAAGCAUGCCUUGUCAAAUUAAGGCUCAUAAUACAAUUUAUGGAAGCAGUUCUCCUCUUCUUUACAAUCUGCCAAAACUUAACUUUUCCACUGAACUUGGCAAGGCUGUUCAACUUCAAAAUCCCCGAAUUUAUGUCCUUGCUUAACUUUUCAGUAUCCGAUAAUCUAUAUGAUCUCACAUCCACCUUAACCUUUAUCUUUUCUUUCCCUCUAGCUCUGACUAGCCCCUUCCCUAUUAUCGCUUUUCCCACUGUCGUGCCUCCAUAUAACACAUUUGCAGUCGAAUUCUCGAACUUGAACAUCCCAAAAUUCUGAUUCUCGAUCGAG